rnacentral:rRNA from 1 species
AUAUUUAAGUCUAAUCUGCCCACUGAUUUAUAAAUUAAAGGGCUGCAGUAUAUUGACUGUACAAAGGUAGCAUAAUCAUUAGUCUUUUAAUUGAAGACUUGUAUGAAAGAUUUGAUGAAAUAUAAACUGUCUCUAAAUUAUAAAUUGAAAUUAAUUUUUUAAUUAAAAAGUUAAAAUAAAUUAAAAAGACGAGAAGACCCUAUAGAGUUUUAUAAUUUUGAUUUUUUUUUAUUAUUUAUAUAAAAAAAAAUUAAAAAAAUUAAAAUUAUUUUAUUGGGGUGAUAGAAAAAUUAAAAUAACUUUUUUUAUAGACUAACAUAAAUAAGUGAAUAGAUGAUCCAUAAUUUAUGAUUAAAAGAAAAAAUUACCUUAGGGAUAACAGCGUAAUUUUUUUUUUUAGUACAAAUAAAAAAAAAAGGUUGCGACCUCGAUGUUGGAUUAAGAUAAAAUUUAAAUGCAAAAGUUUAAAAUUUGAUCUGUUCGAUCAUAAAAUCUACU